rnacentral:rRNA from 1 species
GAUGAACGCUGGCGGCGUGCCUAAUACAUGCAAGUCGAGCGAACAGACGAGGAGCUUGCUCCUCUGACGUUAGCGGCGGACGGGUGAGUAACACGUGGAUAACCUACCUAUAAGACUGGGAUAACUUCGGGAAACCGGAGCUAAUACCGGAUAAUAUAUUGAACCUCAUGGUUCAUUAGUGAAAGACGGUUUUGCUGUCACUUAUAGAUUGAUCCGCGCCGCAUUAGCUAGUUUGUAAGGUAACGGCUUACCAAGGCAACGAUUCGUAGCCGACCUGAGAGGGUGAUCGGCCACACUGGACCUGAGACACGGUCCAGACUCCUACGGGAAGCAGCAGAAGGGAAUCUUCCGCAAUGGGCGAAAACCUGACGGAGCAACGCGACGUGAGUGAUAAAGGUCUUCGGAUCGUAAAACUCUGUUAUUAGGGAAGAACAAAUGUGUAAGUAACUAUGCACGUCUUGACGGUACCUAAUCAGAAAGCCACGGCUAACUACGUG